rnacentral:snoRNA from 1 species
ACGCGUCAUUUUCAUCCAAUUGUCAAUGUGAUUUAACAAUGUUGGCGAUUCAGCGUAUUUCUAGACGCAAUAUAGGUAACUUCUCCAUUGACGUCUAGUCAGAUUAAACUGACUUGGAUACAAUUAGGGAGUUUACACUU